CUAAGGAAAAGGAACCUGUACGUUAGUCUUCUUUAAUUUUGAGAGGUUUUGUUAAGAAAAGACCACACAUGUGGGGCCUUAGCUCAGCUGGGAGAGCGCCUGCUUUGCACGCAGGAGGUCAGCGGUUCGAUCCCGCUAGGCUCCAUUAUCUAGGAUACAGAGUAACCUAGAUAACUAAGAUAACUGAAUACGAACCUAAACUUCCUAGGAAUAAGUCAAAACCACUUAGUGUCUAAAGACACAUCGUUGGUUAACUUCUUAUUCUACGAAAGUUUCGCGACAAGUCGCACCGGUUCUUAAUAUCUUAGAACUUGUCCAUUGAAAAUUGAAUAUCUAUCAAACAAUCCUUAUGUAUUUGAAAAGAUACAUAAAGAAAUAGUAACAAGAAAAUAAACCGAAAAUGCUGUGAAUAUUUAAUGAGUUUUCUAAUUUUUGAAAAAAUUAGGUUAAUAAGGUUAA
rnacentral:tRNA from 1 species